GCCAAUUAUAUACAUGCCCACAGGGCCAGAUGAAGAUGAGAUGCAUUCUUCCAAGAUACAAACAUGGAUCGAUCAAGAAAAAGAAGCGUCAUUAAAUUACCGGUGCCUAAACCCUAACGGCCUGCAAGUCCAACAACGAAAUCCAUCGACGAGGGCGGUCGAUCCAUAGACGCACGUAUCAAAGAACAGCAAAGUGCAGGCCAGCAGCACAGCAACAAGAACAACAACAGACGGAAAAUAGCAUCAUUACUACAUUAGGUUUAGGUUCAACAAAGAGGGCUAAUAUCUAUCCAUCCACAGAUCCAGAAGACAAUUAAGCUACACAAUCAGACAGUUCUUUUUACCACUGGCACACGUACAACGAGAGGCAUUAUUUAGCGAUAGUAUAGCUGCAUAGGCUCAAACUAACCAUCUCGUGGUACGCACGCGCGCAGCCAUGCUCGCUCGCUAGGAGUCGCCGCCGUUGCCGGUGUCCUCGUUUCCUCCUCCUCCCCCGCCGCCGCCGCCGGAAGUCGUUGGCGUCCCGCCGCCGCCGGUCCAGUCGGCGAUGAUGGUCUUGAUGAUGCUGCCUCUCUUGGGGUUCCGGUUCCCGUCGGGCUUCGGCCUCAGGCCCUGGCCGCCAUCCUGCCCAUCCAUGGCGUCGCGCGCGUGCAAGGAAGCCCCGGCCGGCCGGCCCAGAGAAACGUCGGCGAGUGGACGAGUGUGGUGGGUGCGCGCGUGCGAGCUGGAGUGGGAGCUAUGCGCCUAUGAGCAAGUGGUCGGCUUUAUAGCGCUAAACACAGUAGCAUUGUUAAUUGUUAGGACAAUCUUCUGAUUUGGCGCUCCGUGCAUGAAGUAUUCUUGCAUCCAGACCGGCGACUAAUCCACGACGAUGACGCCUUGGGAUGGGAGUGGGUGGUUCAGUGUGAUUCCUGUACAAUGCAGGGUCUAUCGGGAGGUAGUACUAGUGUACUAGCUUAACUUUGAAGCAAUGCGUGUGUGAUCG
rnacentral:rRNA from 1 species